AGUGAACGCUGGCGGUAGGCCUAACACAUGCAAGUCGAACGGCAGCACAGUAAGAGCCUGCUCUUACGGGUGGCGAGUGGCGGACGGGUGAGGAAUACAUCGGAAUCUACUUUUUCGUGGGGGAUAACGUAGGGAAACUUACGCUAAUACCGCAUACGACCUACGGGUGAAAGCAGUGGAUCUUCGGACCUUGCGCGAUUGAAUGAGCCGAUGUCGGAUUAGCUAGUUGGCGGGGUAAAGGCCCACCAAGGCGACGAUCCGUAGCUGGUCUGAGAGGAUGUUCGGCCACCUUGAACUUAGACCCCGUUCCGGCCUCCUCCGGAGGCCGGCGGGGGGAAUUUUUGGCCAAUGGCGGAAGCCCUAACCCGGCCAUCCCCGUUGGUGGAGAAAGGCUUUCGGUUUUUAAGGCCUUUUGUUGGGAAAGAAAAGCAGCAGGUUAAUACCCCGCUGUUCUGACGGUACCCAAAGAAUAAGCACCGGCUAACUUCGUG
rnacentral:rRNA from 1 species